rnacentral:rRNA from 1 species
AAUCAACGCUGGCGGCGUGCCUAACACAUGCAAGUCGAACGCGAAAGUCCCGCAAGGGGCAAGUAGAGUGGCAAACGGGUGAGUAACACGUGGGUGACCUGCCUUCGAGUGGGGGAUAACGUCCCGAAAGGGACGCUAAUACCGCAUAACAUCCUGCCUUUUAAGAGGUGGACAUCAAAGCCGGGGAUCGCAAGACCUGGCGCUUGAAGAGGGGCCCGCGCCUGAUUAGCUAGUUGGUGGGGAAUGGCUCACCAAGGCAACGAUCAGUAUCCGGCCUGAGAGGGCGGACGGACACACUGGGACUGAGACACGGCCCAGACUCCUACGGGAGGCAGCAGUGGGGAAUUGUUCGCAAUGGGCGCAAGCCUGACGACGCAACGCC